CUAAGGAUGAUCCUUCAGCGAGCUUCGGCUCACUAUCGGAUCGUUUUAGAAACAUCAGGGGCCAACAGAUCGCCAGAUCGUUGAGCUCCAUUGGCGGGAUUUCGCCGUCUACGUUUCUCUUUCUUCGCGGACGAACACGCGCCAGGGCUGCGCUGUGCGAUUGCAUUCGGCGCUUGCGCCCUAUGCUGCACGCGAGCAAGACCCUGUCCUUGAAGGAUAUGCGUUAGGGGCUUGUAGCUCAGUUGGUUAGAGCGCGCGCUUGAUAAGCGUGAGGUCGGAAGUUCAAGUCUUCCCAGGCCCACCACUUUCAUCGAGCGAGCAUUCGUCUUCUGGUUACGGGGCCAUAGCUCAGCUGGGAGAGCGCGUGCUUUGCAAGCAUGAGGUCGUCGGUUCGAUCCCGUCUGGCUCCACCAGAUGGUUUGAAUGACCGGCGCAUCGUGCACCUUAAAUCGUCCGCGAAACAUCACUUCGCACCCACUAGUCCGGAUGGACAGUGAGUUGCGUGAUUUCUGACAUCGUAAAGAGGAGAUCGAUCCGAGUUGGAUCGUGCAGCAAUUGUUGCGCGAUACUUCAUUAUCUCCGGAUCAUUUCGGCGCUUGCGCGCCUUUCAGGUGUAGCUCACAAGGCUGCGUCUGAAAGACGGGUGAGUUGUAAAUGAUCCUUUUAGCGAAGCUUGACCGCCUCGCUAUCGGAACGAUCUUACGAAGCAAGCUGGUCUUUCUAAUCAAUGCCCGGCUGCACAUAGCGUUCAUCGAGGGCGCGUGCCGCAGAGAUUUCGGUCUCUUGGCAAUUGUGCAGACAACAUUCUGCCGAGUGUGUGGACAUUGAUAAUGAGAGC
rnacentral:tRNA from 1 species